UACGAAGGAUUCGAGCGUUAUCCGGAUUUAUUGGGUUUAAAGGGUGCGUAGGUGGACUAAUAAGUCAGUGGUGAAAGCCCGCAGCUUAGCUGCGGAACUGCCAUUGAUACUGUUAGUCUUGAGUACAGUUGAGGUGGGCGGAAUGUGUCAUGUAGCGGUGAAAUGCUUAGAUAUGACACAGAACACCGAUUGCGAAGGCAGCUCACUAAGCUGUAACUGACACUGAGGUGCGAAAGCGUGGGGAGCAAACAGG
rnacentral:rRNA from 1 species